rnacentral:rRNA from 1 species
CCUACGGGAGGCUGCAGUGGGGAAUAUUGCACAAUGGGGGAAACCCUGAUGCAGCGACGCCGCGUGAGUGAAGAAGUAUUUCGGUACGUAAAGCUCUAUCAGCAGGGAAGAAAAUGACGGUACCUGACUAAGAAGCCCCGGCUAACUACGUGCCAGUAGCCGCGGUAAUACGUAGGGGGCAAGCGUUAUCCGGAUUUACUGGGUGUAAAGGGAGCGUAGACGGUUACGCAAGUCUGGAGUGAAAGGCGGGGGCCCAACCCCCGGACUGCUUUGGAAACUGUAUAACUGGAGUGCAGGAGAGGUAAGUGGAAUUCCUAGUGUAGCGGUGAAAUGCGUAGACAUUAGGAGGAACACCAGUGGCGAAGGCGGCUUACUGGACUGUAACUGACGUUGAGGCUCGAAAGCGUGGGGAGCAAACAGGAUUAGAUACCCCGGUAGUC